rnacentral:rRNA from 1 species
AUGUGUCUGGAUGCUUGCAAGAGAGGAUUCCUUUUGGGUUGUAGGCCAGUGAUUUUUCUUGAUGGCUGCCACAUAAAAACAAGGUACAGAGGUCAACUACUAGCAGUUGUUGGUGUGGAUCCAAAUAAUUGCAUCUUUCCAAUAGCAAUUGCUGUUGUUGAAGUUGAGGACACCCCUAACUGGGUGUGGUUCCUUGAAGAGCCAACUGCUGUGUUAGAAGAUCUUAUGGUGGAUAACAUGGUUGCCCAGAUGCCAACACCAAGGGUUGUUCACAGAGGCCAUUACCUUAUUCUGGGUUUCUAA